GAUGAACGCUGGCGGCGUGCCUAAUACAUGCAAGUCGAGCGAACGGACGAGAAGCUUGCUUCUCUGAUGUUAGCGGCGGACGGGUGAGUAACACGUGGAUAACCUACCUAUAAGACUGGGAUAACUUCGGGAAACCGGAGCUAAUACCGGAUAAUAUUUUGAACCGCAUGGUUCAAAAGUGAAAGACGGUCUUGCUGUCACUUAUAGAUGGAUCCGCGCUGCAUUAGCUAGUUGGUAAGGUAACGGCUUACCAAGGCAACGAUGCAUAGCCGACCUGAGAGGGUGAGCGGCCACACUGGAACUGAGACACGGUCCAGACUCAUACGGGAGGCAGCAGUAGGGAAUCGUCCGCAAUGGGCGAAAGCCUGACGGAGCAACGCCGCGUGAGUGAUGAAGGUCUUCGGAUCGUAAAACUCUGUUAUUAGGGAAGAACAUAUGUGUAAGUAACUGUGCACAUCGUGACGGUACCUAAUCAGAAAGCCACGGCUAACUACG
rnacentral:rRNA from 1 species